UACGAAGGGUGCAAGCGUUACUCGGAAUUACUGGGCGUAAAGCGUGCGUAGGUGGUUUGUUAAGUCUGUUGUGAAAGCCCCGGGCUCAACCUGGGAAUGGCAAUGGAUACUGGCAAGCUAGAGUGCGGUAGAGGGUAGUGGAAUUCCCGGUGUAGCGGUGAAAUGCGUAGAGAUCGGGAGGAACACCGACGGCGAAGGCAGCACUCUGGGCCGGUACUGACGCUAAGGCGCGAAAGCGUGGGGAGCGAACAGG
rnacentral:rRNA from 1 species